AAGUGAUACAAACCCUUAAUAUGGUAGCUCCCAAACUUGCUCCAUUAUAAAUAUCACCAAAGGAGUUUUUGAAAAACAGAGAUGCUGAUGUUCUACUUCAAACCUCCUUAAUCAGAUAUGGGAGGCUCUGCAACAGCAUAUUCUACAAAGAAAAAGAUAAAUGAACAGAAUUCACUCUAAGAUUCACCAUGGAUGUUUACUAGUCAACUUGAUGUCCCAAACCAUCUGCCUAUCUAACACAGCUGAUCUUAAGUUCAUGCUUCACAGCUAUUGGAUGCCCCUUAACCAAGGACUUAGGGCUCAAAUAUUUGAAGAACACUGGAGUCAGGAGACCAGGAUUUCAGAUCUGACUGACACUAAC
rnacentral:lncRNA from 1 species